CCUUGUUCCAUAUGCUGGCAUUAUUUCCUCAUUUUGUCCAGUUAGAUAUCCCCCCAGCUCUGAACAGGCCCAGACAACCACUCUCCUUUGAGUCCACCAUCUUCGUCUUCCGUAACGAUGAAGCAGUCUUCCAAUCUCACGCCGACGCCAUUAAUACCAUUCACGGGUUUUCCGUUUGCCGGCAGAUAGAUUCCCGGCUCAAGACUGAACACAUGUCCGGAUCGGACCUGCCUUUUGCCCAACGACCCUUGUAUCAAGUAUGGGGAUUCGUGCCCCUCCAAUCCAAUACCAUGGCCCAAGCGAUGGGUGAAAAUGUCGAAAUUAGGGAUAUCAGUGCCCGCUGUUGAACCAGCCCAAGAGUCAAUUGCACUGCGCGCAGCCUUGUCGAGCUGCGCAAACGUCGCUGGGGUGGUGGUAUUCGUUGUUUUGAGGAAUGCAUAAGGCGCAUGUUGGGCUUUAUGCACUGCCUCCCAGAUUUCUAUAUGAGGGAGGGGAAUCUUGGAAUUUGCCAGAGCGAACGUCUGAAAAUAAAUCAGGACAUCACAUCGUGGGUGCAGAUUAAUCUGCUCACCCUGGUGAUAUCUGACACAUAUCCUCCCCAUUUCCCUCCGGCAUCUAUGAGCACCAUCUCGUCUUUGAUCAAUUUACGAUCAGUCCCUGAGCCAUGAGGCAAAGCGGCGUUCUCUAAUUCAUAAUCAGCCGCUCUGUAGCACCCCUUCAUCAAAAAGAAACUCACUGCCAAACAGUACUAGUCCUUCUCCGCCCACCAGGCCUAUUUUUGCCAUUUCCUCUUCCAGUAUACGGCUAGUCCGUGAUUCGCUAAUGCCCAAAUGCAUUCUCUUCUUCGUUUUUCGAAUCGCAUGCAAGGUCUUCUGGUUGGCACAUCUGAGUAACUCCACUUCCCAGCGGCUCUUUCUCUCUCUAAUCAGCCCAAUUUUCCCCAACACUUCAUCAUUCUUCUCCUCCCUCAGCACGUUCCUUAACCCUUCUGCAACGAACUGCCGAGUCAACCCAUCCAGAACAAAUGCGUCUACCUCAUCAUCUAACGCCGUCUUGAGAGCCUCAUAUGGACUUUGGUCUUCCCUCCAUUUUACCCAGGUCACUAACCCAUCCAAAUCCUUAGGUAGUUCGAUCAGGCUAGCUCGCAGCGCCUCAAAUUCGGGAGUAACCAGGAAGAUUCUGGGAGAUCCUCGGGGAAAACGCCCGAUGGCCACAAGGAAGGGUCUCUCGGAUAACCACCAGUCUUGACUAGAAAACCUACCGAUAAAAUAGGAUGAUGAUGGACCUGGCUCUGCAACCCAUACUGUUGAUUGAGGCAAUUCCGAAACGAGAGAGUCGAGGCGAUUAGGAUAGGUCUUCGGAGGGGGAGUGAGAAGAGCUUCACACUUGCGGUUGAACGCUAUCGAAAGCGAAGACGAGUCAGACGUGGAAAAGAACGCGAUAAACUCCGUCAAGGAUGAACUAGGCAUGUACUUCAGAGUACCCAUGAAGGCCGCCAAGAAUAAUAUCGCGACGACCACUCGCUGACCAAAUGCCGACAUUGGUCUUGUACACUUGUGGCCAUCCUCAACGUUGCCGAAACUAGUUUCAGACGACUUGAUAGAUGUCCAUGUUAGCGGAA
rnacentral:sRNA from 1 species